ensembl:processed_transcript
GGCAGAAGAAGAAGCGGUGUGUGUCGUGUUUACAGUCUGUCUCGCGUCCUGCGUUUACACUGCUUCAUUUUACUCGUGAUGAGCUUCUGGAUUUGAGUGUCUCAGCUGCUGAUCUAUUCCUGCAUUCAGCUGAAUUAUGAAGGCUGAUCAAUGACUGGAGAUCUGUGAUUGUUCAUCAGUUUCUGCUGGAGAUCAAACUCUUCAG